CAAAUUGUAUACUUUUAGAAGUAAAUUCAUUUACAUUGAGUUUAAUAUCGUGCAAUUCGAUGCGGUUUGA
rnacentral:tRNA from 1 species